AUUGAACGCUGGCGGCAGGCCUAACACAUGCAAGUCGAGCGGAUGAAGAGAGCUUGCUCUCUGAUUUAGCGGCGGACGGGUGAGUAAUGCCUAGGAAUCCGCCUGGUAGUGGGGGAUAACGUUCCGAAAGGAACGCUAAUACCGCAUACGUCCUACGGGAGAAAGUGGGGGAUCUUCGGACCUCACGCUAUCAGAUGAGCCUAGGUCGGAUUAGCUAGUUGGUGAGGUAAUGGCGAACCAAGGCGACGAUCCGUAACUGGUCUGAGAGGAUGAUCAGUCACACUGGAACUGAGACACGGUCCAGACUCCUACGGGAGGCAGCAGUGGGGAAUAUUGGACAAUGGGCGAAAGCCUGAUCCAGCCAUGCCGCGUGUGUGAAGAAGGUCUUCGGAUUGUAAAGCACUUUAAGUUGGGAGGAAGGGUUGUAGAUUAAUACUCUGCAAUUUUGACGUUACCGACAGAAUAAGCACCGGCUAACUUCGUGCCAGCCGCCGCAGUAA
rnacentral:rRNA from 1 species